rnacentral:lncRNA from 1 species
GUUUACUUCAUGUUUUGUCUUACAGGAAAUAUAAUAUCUACAAAGUUUACUAAAAAAAAAUCAUGUAAAUGUCUACAAAAAUUGUGGGUUACCUAUCAAUUGCAAGUUGAAAGGUCAGAGUCCAUGAACUCUCUUGGAAGCUUCUCUCCCAACAACAAACACUUCCUGAAAUUAUAAACCGAAUAGUUAAAACAAAAAAAAAUUAGUGUCAAACAAAACUAAUACUCAAAAAAAAAGAACAGAUUCUUUUUAUUGAACUUGUUGCUUUAAUGCAUUAGUCCUUCCUUGUAAAUUUGAAUCAGAAAGAGACGAAAUCUAUAUCUCCAAGAGAUUAACAUAGGCGUGAUUGCUUCUUAUUAUUGCCUCGCUGAGUCUCCAUUAUGAAAACUCUUGAAAAUCCCGCUAAGAAAUGAAGCGUUAAAAAAAAGAAAAAUGAAGCGUUUACGCUAGAUCGUGCUUCUCGGACUGAAGCAGCUACGACAUCCUAACUUGAAUAUGUUUCUGAAUUUGAU